UAGCUAGAUUCAUAUUAGUUUGUAAUAAUCUCGAAGCCUAAAGAGCUAUUUUAUAGUAUGAGAGUAGGUGUGGUAUAACCUUUCUUAAACUAUAAAAUAGAAAUAAGAUGUUAUUCGUGUUAGGGGAUAGCUAGUUUUGGCAGAAAUGUAUAUAAGUACAGAAGUUGAAAAGGCUUAGUUUUAAUUUAUUAAAACAUUUAAUAUUAACAUUUGAGUUAUUUAAGGAUAAGCUCUGGUAACAUGUCUAUACAAAAGACUAGUAUAAAAAUAAAUUUAGGCUUGGAAUUAGCCAUAAUUAUUAGUUUGUUUCUAAAAAUUUAUUUAUAAUACUGUCUUGCGGGUUUGAGUGUGUAUGCUAUAUAAGUUAUUUCUUAAGAUAAUGAUUAAACUUAUGCUAAGAUGAGUAUUAAAUUAAGCAAAAAUAAUAGCUGUAUUCUAAAAAGCUAAAUUUUGAAUUAUUAAAAAAUGAUAUAUAUAUAAGGAACUCGGCAAAUACAAGCUUCGCCUGUUUAGCAAAAACAUGUCUCUUCG
rnacentral:rRNA from 1 species